UGAGGCAGGCACCUAGAAAACGCGGGCGGCGGGCGGGCGGACAGGCGCCGGAGCCGGAUUGGCGAGGAAGAGACGCGAUCGGCGGCACUCUCUCGCCUGCCCUGGAGGAGGAGGGAAAACCCGGCCUGACUCACUGGCGCGCGGCAAGCCCAGAGCCCAGCCCCGGCCCCGGCCCCGGCCCCCGGAUGUGGGGGGCGGGGACGGGGGGACAGCGCCCGCCCACCGGUAAUCCAACCUGAGCCCCGCCCCAAGUCGGGGCUCACAGACCAGUACUGAUCUGCUGGGGCCUAGGGUCCCUUAGCAGCUGUGCACCGCUGGGCUGCCACCUCUGGGCGCGCCGGCUCCGACCCGGUGGGUUCGAAGCCUCAAGCACCGCCGAGGCCCCAGAAGUCUCCUGGCCAGCUCGCCCGCUCCUCCUCCUCCAGUUCCUCCUGUCCUCACCCGCCUUUCUCUCUCUUGCCAGAACUAAACAGCUUCGGGAGAGGCUCGUUGGGUCCAUCACCUCUCUGAUCCUUGCCGCCUCCUAUCAGGGUCUAACUGAGUUGCUUAGGGCCUCACUAAGUUGGUGAAGCUGGCUUUGAACUCAUGAUCCUCCUGCCUCAGCCUCCUGAGCCACUGGAUUACAGGCAUGCUGGCACUAGCCCUGGUUUCUUGAACACUGCGCCUGGAGGGAUUAACAAACUGAGAUCAUCUUGGUUCAUACUUAGGGCAUGAUGUUUUCUGGAGCACCUGGAUGACUCAAAGCCUUGACUACAGCUCAGGUUCAGUCUUCUAAAUGCUUCACCACCUCCCAAUAGCUCCACAGGCUGAGGACCAAGCAUUCAAUACAGAGCCCUUUGGAGGACAUCCCAUACCCAAACUAUAGCAGCCCAGCAGCUUUUCUCAGAACGCAAGCACACACACGCCAUGGCUGAGUGUCUGCUGGGUAGAUGCUGGGGAAACAGGAAAAUGACCUUUGGGAGACCUCAGUUGUAGAUGGAUGGAGCUGAGGAUCAAAACCAGUGCCUCGAAUGUGCUAGGCAAGCACUUUGCCACUGAGCUACAGCCCCAGCCCUUCAACCCUUCUGGAACGAGUGCAUUUUCUGCUGUUGCUCUCACCUUGGACAUCAGACUCCAGAUUCUUCAGCCUUUGAACACGGGCUUGCACCAGAGGCUCCCCAGAGUGUUGCAGGACUCCAGGUGUGGACUGGGACUGCAUCAUUGGUCCCUCUUAUUCUGAGGCUUCCACUUUCUUGGAUUGGUUUCCCCAGCUUUCCAGCCUACAGAUGACCACUAUGGGACUAUUCAGCCUCUGAUCAUGUGAGCAAUCUAAUAAAUCCACCUCUAAGACACAGCAUGGUGGCACAUACCUAUAGUGCCAACUACUUAGGAGUCUGAGAUAGGAGGAUCACUUGAGGCCAGUCUGGGCAACAUAGCAAGGUACUGUCUCAAAAAAAAAAAAUCACCCCAUCUUAUAAUUAUAUGUAAUCUGUUGGUUCUGUUCCCUAGAGAACCAUGAUUAAUACAAAACACUAGGAAGUAGAUCCUAUCCUUGCUCUCAGAAGUCAUCUAGGAUGGGUCCUUAGCAGGAAGACAUGCCUCGGAAGAGUGGCAGAGGGUAAAUGAUGAUAAGUCCUUUGCCCUUGAACUGGCCUAUCCUUUGAGACCACCAGUGUUUUCAAGACACAUUGGCUGAAAUUCAUACAUAACAUUUUCUCUCACAAUCUACGUGUUAUUCAAAAAUUGAGUCAAACCUAUUUCUUUUUCUUUUUCUUUUUUUUUUUUUUUUGAGAUUCCUAAACAGGGCUCCAAGCUAUCCUCCUGCCUCAGCUUCCCAAGUAGCUGAUGCUGCAAGUGCAGACCACAACCUUGGCUUCAAAUCUGUCUUAUCAAAUUACAUUAUGAAAUAUUUAUCAUUACUCUUAUGUCAUCUUAUAAAAUGUUCAAUAUUUUCUAUUUAUUAUAACAAAGAAUAUGCCAAUUCCAGAUUAAUAUUUUUAGUAGUAAAUACCUCAAUAAAUGAUGCUCUCUAUAUUUAAGAAAUAUUUAUAGCUAUUCAUUCAAAUACAAAGUUUUAAAAAGGGCUGAUGGUGUAGUUCAGUCAUGGAGCAAACCUGUGUUCAAUCCCCAAUAUGGCAAAAUAAGCAAAUGAACCAUCUUGCUGCUUGAGGAGGGUGCUGGUGUUCUCUCUCUGAGAUAAAGAAAAGAGGCUUUGUAUGGUAAGUCAGUUUCCCAAGGAUAUGAGAGUUUUUUUCAGAACUGGGACUUGCUGCGCUGGUCUUGCUUGAAAGGUUGAAGCUACAUGAGCUAGAAAAGCUAGACUUCUUUUAUUAUGUUGGGAAAACAACCUAUAGGAUUGUUACUUCUGGGAUUCCUGAGAUAUAUAUGGUGAUCUGUUUGAUGGUGUCCCUAGAUUCCUUAGAAUCUGUUCACUUUUCUUCAAUUGUUUUUCUUUCUGUUCCUCAUACACAAUAGUUUGUAUUCAAACUAUUCAAAUUCAUAUAUUCUUUCCCCUGCUAAUUUAAAUGUUCCUUUGAAUUCUUUGAAAUCUUUUCUGGCAGUUUUCAUUUCAGUUAGUGUACUUUUCAAUUCUGGAAUUUUUUUGUUUUCCUUUUUGGAUUUUUCUUUUUUGAUAUCUCCAUUUUGUUUGUAUAUAAUUUUCUUAACUUUCUCCUUUAGUUCCUCCUUCUUCCCAGGGGCGCUUUACCACUG